GCCAGUGUGGUCUAGUGGUUUGAAUGUUGGACUACCACUCUGGAGACCCGGGUUCAAAUCCCCACUCAGCCA
rnacentral:tRNA from 1 species